rnacentral:rRNA from 1 species
CAGUCGCCACGGUAAUACGGAGGAUCCAAGCGUUAUCCGGAAUCAUUGGGUUUAAAGGGUCCGUAGGCGGUCUUGUAAGUCAGUGGUGAAAGCCCAUCGCUCAACGGUGGAACGGCCAUUGAUACUGCAGGACUUGAAUUAUUGGGAAGUAACUAGAAUAUGUAGUGUAGCGGUGAAAUGCUUAGAGAUUACAUGGAAUACCAAUUGCGAAGGCAGGUUACUACCAAUUGAUUGACGCUGAUGGACGAAAGCGUGGGUAGCGAACAGGAUCAGAUACCCGCGUAGUCCCUGUCUCUUAUAC